UGCCUUGUGGUGUAACCGGCAACACGACUGACUCUGACUCAGUUAUUCUAGGUUCGAAUCCUGGCAGGGCAG
rnacentral:tRNA from 1 species